rnacentral:misc_RNA from 1 species
UAUGUACACCGUAAGUACAGUGAUGUAGAGAGUUGAACCAGUCCUAUACACAAUCUAUCUGUACACCGUAAGUACAGUGAUGUAGAGAAUUGAACCAGUCCUAUAUACAAUCUAACUGUACACCAACAAGAUCAGCUCUAAUGACUGGCAGAUACCCAUUCAAGACGGGAAUGCAGCACGGCGUUCUAUUUUCGACUGACAACGCCUGCCUCCCCACGCAACACCGGCUAAUGAGCGAGGAUCUCCGACAGCACGGCUACUCCACACACCUGGUGGGCAAAUGGCACCUUGGGUUCUGCAAGUGGGCGUGUACUCCCACCUACCGUGGGUUCGACUCCUUCUUCGGUUACUACUCGGGGGCUCUGGACUACUACUCCAAAACAUGUGAGUUGAGUUGCACCGUGAGAGUUGCACCGUGUGAGUUGCACAAUUGUUGGUUUUCACUUUGCCGGUUUUAUGCGUGAGUUGCACAACUUUCGUCAGUUAUUCAAAUAUGGACCAAACUAUCGUGAGCAACCCUCAACCGUAUGGGAUAGAACUUCAAAAUUGAAAUCAUUAUAGAUGCUGACGAAGCAUAUGCCAAUGAUGGGCCUAAUAAGAAGAGAAACCCGCUGUAUUGUAAAAAGCCAUGCUUAAUGAUUUUGAAAGGAAUUGGGCAAAGUAUCGAAACUUAAUUAAUGAAAAAAUGAUUUAAUCACUUAUUGGGUAUAUAUG